GUGCCAGCAGCCGCGGUAAUACAGAGGUCCCGAGCGUUGUUCGGAUUCACUGGGCGUAAAGGGUGCGUAGGUGGCAUGGUAAGUUUGAUGUGAAAGCUCAGAGCUCAACUCUGAAAUGGCAUUGAAUACUACUGUGCUGGAGGUUUGGAGGGGGGACUGGAAUUCUCGGUGUAGCAGUGAAAUGCGUAGAUAUCGAGAGGAACACCAGUGGCGAAGGCGAGUCCCUGGACAACACCUGACACUGAGGCACGAAAGCUAGGGGAGCAAACAGGAUUAGAUACCCUGGUAGUCC
rnacentral:rRNA from 1 species